AUAGCGUAUAUUAAAGUUGUUGCGGUUAAAAAGCUCGUAGUUGAAUCUGUGUCCCACGCUGUCGGUUCACCGCUCGCGGUGUUCAACUGGCAUGAUUGUGGUACGUCCUACCGGUGGGCUUAGCCCCCUACAAGGGGCGGCCCAACUUAUAUCCCAUCGCGGUGCUCUUUACCGAGUGUCGAGGUGGGCCGGUACGUUUACUUUGAACAAAUUAGAGUGCUUAAAGCAGGCCAUUUUCGCCUGAAUACUGUGUGCAUGGAAUAAUGGAAUAGGACCUCGGUUCUAUUUUGUUGGCUUUCGGAACCCCGAGGUAAUGAUUAAUAGGAACAGAUGGGGGCAUUCGUAUUGCGACGUUAGAGGUGAAAUUCUUGGAUCGUCGCAAGACGGACAGAAGCGAACGCAUUUGCCAAAAAUGUUUUCCUUAAUCAAGAACGAAAGUUAGAGGUUCGAAGGCGAUCAGAUACCGCCCUAGUUCUAACCAUAAACGAUGCCAGCUAGCGAUCCGCCGAAGUUCCUCCGAUGACUCGGCGGGCAGCUUCCGGGAAACCAAAGCUUUUGGGUUCCGGGGGAAGUAUGGUUGCAAAGCUGAAACUUAAAGGAAUUGACGGAAGGGCACCACCAGGAGUGGAGCCUGCGGCUUAAUUUGACUCAACACGGGAAACCUCACCAGGCCCGGACACCGGAAGGAUUGACAGAUUGAGAGCUCUUUCUUGAUUCGGUGGGUGGUGGUGCAUGGCCGUUCUUAGUUGGUGGAGCGAUUUGUCUGGUUAAUUCCGAUAACGAACGAGACUCUAGCCUGCUAAAUAGGCGUACUUUCCGGUAUCUCGAAGGCCCCCGGCCUCGGUCGUGGGGUUUUUACUACCGGCGUACAAACAAAUCUUCUUAGAGGGACAGGCGGCUUCUAGCCGCACGAGUAUG
rnacentral:rRNA from 1 species